rnacentral:rRNA from 1 species
AACGAACGCUGGCGGCAUGCCUAACACAUGCAAGUCGAACGAGACCUUCGGGUCUAGUGGCGCACGGGUGCGUAACGCGUGGGAACCUGCCUUUAGGUUCGGAAUAACUCAGAGAAAUUUGAGCUAAUACCGGAUAAUGUCUUCGGACCAAAGAUUUUAUCGCCUUUAGAUGGGCCCGCGUUGGAUUAGCUAGUUGGUGGGUAAAGCCUACCAAGGCGACGAUCCAUAGCUGGUCUGAGAGGAUGAUCAGCCACACUGGGACUGAGACACGGCCCAG